UGUAAAGCAUAAUCGAUAGAGAGAGAACGAAACCUGUUAGAGUGAGAUUGCUGUAGUGGCGAAGAUCCUUUUACAGUAGUCGUUAUCCCUUUGUGUUCGAGGUAUGUCUCUAAUAUCUUUUAGAUUUGACUUUCUGCAUUAAAUUUCUUAACUGCAAACAAGUUUGAUACUGCGAAAUAGGUGUUUUGGUCCAUUGACAUUUAUUUUGAUUGUCAUAACUAUCACGGUAUCUUAAUUCCAGUGACGAGCAUCUCAAAUGUCA
rnacentral:lncRNA from 1 species